rnacentral:misc_RNA from 1 species
UCAAACUUGGUCAUUUAGAGGAAGUAAAAGUCGUAACAAGGUCUCCGUUGGUGAACCAGCGGAGGGAUCAUUACCGAGUUGCAAAACUCCAAACCCAUGUGAACAUACCUCGUGUUGCCUCGGCGGCGAGCGAAGUGCCCGGUAGGUGCCUACCCGGCACCUACCCUGGAGCUACCCUGUAGCUACCUACCCGGUAGCUGCGAGGUACCUACCCUGUAGGACUGGCGCAUCCGCCGAAGGACCACUCAAACUCUUAUUUCUGUGUGGCACGUCUGAGUAAUUAUAUUUAAUAAGUCAAAACUUUCAACAACGGAUCUCUUGGUUCUGGCAUCGAUGAAGAACGCAGC